GACAGAGGGUGCGAACGUUGUUCGGAAUUACUGGGCGUAAAGCGCAUGUAGGCGGCAGCGCAAGUCGGGCGUGAAAUCCCACGGCUCAACCGUGGAAGUGCACUCGAAACUGCGCAGCUAGAGUCCUGGAGAGGAAGGUGGAAUGCUUGGUGUAGAGGUGAAAUUCGUAGAUAUCAAGCGGAACACCGGUGGCGAAGGCGGCCUCUGGACAGUGACUGACGCUGAGAUACGAAAGUAUGGGGAGCAAACAGG
rnacentral:rRNA from 1 species